UUUCCGUAGGUGAACCUGCGGAAGGAUCAUUACAAACUUCAUGCCCGAAAAGGUAGACCUCCUACCCUUGUGUAUGAUUACUUUGUUGCUUUUGCCAGCGCAAGCUCGUCAGUGAAUAACAAAACUCUUUUUAUUAAUGUCGCCUGAAUACUAAAUUAUAGUUAAAACUUUCAGCAACGGAUCUCUUGGUUCUG
rnacentral:misc_RNA from 1 species